rnacentral:ncRNA from 1 species
GCUCACCGAUUAAAACCGAACGUGAGCUGGGUUUAGACCGUUGCGAGACAGGUUGGUUUCUAUCUAUUGGCGCUGUUGGAUGUCUGAUGGCAAGAUGAAGCCGGUACGAGAGGAACGCUUCGUCGCGACCUAUGGUGUAUCGAUUGUCUGAGAAGGCACUGUCGAGUAGCUAAGUCGUAACGGAUAAACGCUGAAUGCAUCUAAGCGUGAAACCGGACCAGAAAAUAGACAUCCACUUGCUAGACGACCCCUUCCGAAAGGGGCGGCGGGGCUGGUGACGGCAACGUCGAGUCUAGGAACGAGGGCUCUGCUAGAAGAGCAGGUAAAUAGGGCAGGGGUGUAAGCACCGAGCUUCGGCGAGGUGUUCAGCUCACUGCUACUAAUGCCCGAGGCGUGCAGUUC